rnacentral:rRNA from 1 species
GACGAACGCUGGCGGCGUGCUUAACACAUGCAAGUCGAACGGAAAGGCCCUGCUUUUGUGGGGUGCUCGAGUGGCGAACGGGUGAGUAACACGUGAGUAACCUGCCCUUGACUUUGGGAUAACUUCAGGAAACUGGGGCUAAUACCGGAUAGGAGCUCCUGCUGCAUGGUGGGGGUUGGAAAGUUUCGGCGGUUGGGGAUGGACUCGCGGCUUAUCAGCUUGUUGGUGGGGUAGGUGCUUACCAAGGCUUUGACGGGUAGCCGGCCUGAGAGGGUGACCGGGCACAUUGGGACUGCGAGACGGACCAGACUCCUACGGGAGGCAGCAGUGGGGAAUAUUGCACAAUGGGCGGAAGCCUGAUGCAGCAACGCCGCGUGCGGGAUGACGGCCUUCGGGUUGUAAACCGCUUUCGCCUGUGACGAAGCGUGAGUGACGGUAAUGGGUAAAGAAGCACCGGCUAACUACGUG